rnacentral:rRNA from 1 species
UUGAGUUUGAUCCUGGCUCAGAUUGAACGCUGGCGGCAUGCCUUACACAUGCAAGUCGAACGGCAGCACGGGUGCUUGCACCUGGUGGCGAGUGGCGAACGGGUGAGUAAUACAUCGGAACAUGUCCUGUAGUGGGGGAUAGCCCGGCGAAAGCCGGAUUAAUACCGCAUACGAUCUACGGAUGAAAGCGGGGGACCUUCGGGCCUCGCGCUAUAGGGUUGGCCGAUGGCUGAUUAGCUAGUUGGUGGGGUAAAGGCCUACCAAGGCGACGAUCAGUAGCUGGUCUGAGAGGACGACCAGCCACACUGGGGCUGAGACACGGCCCAGACUCCUACGGGAGGCAGCAGUGGGGAAUUUUGGACAAUGGGCGAAAGCCUGAUCCAGCAAUGCCGCGUGUGUGAAGAAGGCCUUCGGGUUGUAAAGCACUUUUGUCCGGAAAGAAAUCCUUGGCUCUAAUACAGUCGGGGGAUGACGGUACCGGAAGAAUAAGCACCGGCUAACUACGUGCCAGCAGCCGCGGUAAUACGUAGGGUGCGAGCGUUAAUCGGAAUUACUGGGCGUAAAGCGUGCGCAGGCGGUUUGCUAAGACCGAUGUGAAAUCCCCGGGCUCAACCUGGGAACUGCAUUGGUGACUGGCAGGCUAGAGUAUGGCAGAAGGGGGUAGAAUUCCACGUGUAGCAGUGAAAUGCGUAGAGAUGUGGAGGAAUACCGAUGGCGAAGGGCAGCCCCCUGGGCCAAUACUGACGCUCAUGCACGAAAGCGUGGGGAGCAAACAGGAUUAGAUACCCUGGUAGUCCACGCCCUAAACGAUGUCAAUUAGUUGUUGGGGAUUCAUUUCCCUUAGUAACGUAGCUAACGCGUGAAGUUGACCGCCUGGGGAGUACGGUCGCAAGAUUAAAACUCAAAGGAAUUGACGGGGACCCGCACAAGCGGUGGAUGAUGUGGAUUGAUUCGAUGCAACGCGAAAAACCUUACCUACCCUUGACAUGGUCGGAAUCCCGCUGAGAGGUGGGAGUGCUCGAAAGAGAACCGGCGCACAGGUGCUGCAUGGCUGUCGUCAGCUCGUGUCGUGAGAUGUUGGGUUAAGUCCCGCAACGAGCGCAACCCUUGUCCUUAGUUGCUACGCAAGAGCACUCUAAGGAGACUGCCGGUGACAAACCGGAGGAAGGUGGGGAUGACGUCAAGUCCUCAUGGCCCUUAUGGGUAGGGCUUCACACGUCAUACAAUGGUCGGAACAGAGGGUUGCCAACCCGCGAGGGGGAGCUAAUCCCAGAAAACCGAUCGUAGUCCGGAUUGCACUCUGCAACUCGAGGGCAUGAAGCUGGAAUCGCUAGUAAUCGCGGAUCAGCAUGCCGCGGUGAAUACGUUCCCGGGUCUUGUACACACCGCCCGUCACACCAUGGGAGUGGGUUUUACCAGAAGUGGCUAGUCUAACCGCAAGGAGGACGGUCACCACGGUAGGAUUCAUGACUGGGGUGAAGUCGUAACAAGGUA